UGCAGUCGAGGGGCAGCAUGGUCUUAGCUUGCUAAGGCCGAUGGCGACCGGCGCACGGGUGAGUAACACGUAUCCAACCUGCCGUCUACUCUUGGACAGCCUUCUGAAAGGAAGAUUAAUACAAGAUGGCAUCAUGAGUCCGCAUGUUCACAUGAUUAAAGGUAUUCCGGUAGACGAUGGGGAUGCGUUCCAUUAGAUAGUAGGCGGGGUAACGGCCCACCUAGUCUUCGAUGGAUAGGGGUUCUGAGAGGAAGGUCCCCCACAUUGGAACUGAGACACGGUCCAAACUCCUACGGGAGGCAGCAGUGAGGAAUAUUGGUCAAUGGGCGAGAGCCUGAACCAGCCAAGUAGCGUGAAGGAUGACUGCCCUAUGGGUUGUAAACUUCUUUUAUAAAGGAAUAAAGUCGGGUAUGCAUACCCGUUUGCAUGUACUUUAUGAAUAAGGAUCGGCUAACUCCGUGCCAGCAGCCGCGGUAAUACGGAGGAUCCGAGCGUUAUCCGGAUUUAUUGGGUUUAAAGGGAGCGUAGAUGGAUGUUUAAGUCAGUUGUGAAAGUUUGCGGCUCAACCGUAAAAUUGCAGUUGAUACUGGAUAUCUUGAGUGCAGUUGAGGCAGGCGGAAUUCGUGGUGUAGCGGUGAAAUGCUUAGAUAUCACGAAGAACUCCGAUUGCGAAGGCAGCCUGCUAAGCUGCAACUGACAUUGA
rnacentral:rRNA from 1 species